AAGGGCACUCUUGCUGGAACCAAGGCCACAGCUUGUCACGAAAGCCAGACGUUGGCAGAACGGGACUGAUGGGGCAGGAAGGGCCCCUUGGGGUAGACGAGGCACAUCCCUGAUGCCUCCCCCAGUCUGCCAGUCAGGGGAGGGGAAGGAGACCCUCAGGUGCACAGAACACAGAUAAUCCACAUUGUUACAGGCCACCCGGCUGCUUCUGAGAAUGGACUUUAAGGUAUUUGGGACUCAUCCUCCACAACCUCGCCCUCAGCAGUGACAUAGUUUGGAAGCAUAACAAGAUGGUGCUCCUCGAGGCAAAACUGAGAAGUCAGAACCAGGAAAGAAUGACUUCAUAUCCUGUACUUGUGUUAGGAUAUAUGUAACCCGUACCUCUGCGGCAUUUAAGAUGACCUUAGUGAGCGGCCAGAGUGACCACCAAGAGGGGUUGUUUCAGGUGACAUGUCUCACCCAAAUAGCACCUGUCCACAAUAAAGUAACGGAGAGCACCCCGCACCAGGAAAGAUUGUGCGAGAUGGAGACACUGAGGCCCUGAGUGGUUCAGAGAGCAGUGAAGUGACAGCCAUGGAUGUGGACGCAGCAGGUGCAUGCUCUCCCCAUCACCACACUGCCAGCUGACAGUCAGUUACACUUGGGGUAUUUGCUGACUGACCGAGCAGAACUGGAGAGGACAGUAAGGAAGAGGAGGAAUUCAGCAUGGUGUCCUAGGAAGACUGACGGCCUUGGAGCCACACAGGGCUGAGUUCAAUACCUUUCCCCCCCCCCCCGCCCCCCCGCCUCAGCCAACGGCCCUGUGAACACUACUGUGCCACACACUGUGGAAAAUUAAAGGAUGGUAGAGAAAGAGAAUCAUCACCUAAUGCAAAGAGAGAGAAAGACAAAAACACGUAAAACCACAAUAAUCGGGGCACCUGGGUGGCUCAGUUGGUUGAG